rnacentral:rRNA from 1 species
UACAGAGGGGGCAAGCGUUAUUCGGAAUUAUUGGGCGUAAAGGGCGCGUAGGCGGCCUGGCAAGUGGAAGGUGAAAUCCCUCGGCUUAACCGAGGAACUGCCUCCCAAACUGCUUGGCUUGAGACCAGGAGAGGUGAGUGGAAUUCCCAGUGUAGCGGUGAAAUGCGUAGAUAUUGGGAGGAACACCAGUGGCGAAGGCGGCUCACUGGCCCGUAACUGACGCUGAGGUGCGAAAGCGUGGGGAGCAAACAGGG